rnacentral:lncRNA from 1 species
AAUUCAGGAACUGCUUGUGUGUUAAAUACAAUUUAAGCCUGCUGAAUGGUUCCCAUUAGACUUGCCCCUGACUUCAUGAAGACUACACUCCGUGUUGUAGUUAGUAAAAGAGUUUGGAGACUUGGGUGUUACACCGAGCUCUGACACUAACUAGAAGUAUGGCUGUCUUAGUCCUAGAGCUGCUAUAACAAAAUACCAUAGACCAAGUGGUUUAUAAACAACAAAAAUUUAUUUCUCACAGUUCUGGAA